AGAGCAGCUUGUUUCUUAAAUGUUCUAGAAAACAAAUUCCAGAAAAAAUUAAUACUUUCCAAGAUAAUGAGUGUACCCACUUAAAUGGAUCACCUGAUAAGCUCCUACAUAGUUAUAUGGUGACAUAGCUAUCCUAUUCCAAUUUCCAACUAUUCUUUCGGGCGGUAAUUUGAGCGUUUGGUAUAAUUUCCAUUCACUUCAAUCGUUUCAGUGUAUCUUUAAAUAUCAAGGCUGUGGCUAAAAGCGUUUGUAUCGCCGACGACUCACGACAACGCGGCCAAAGUGUUGUUUUCGAAUUCAAUCGAAAAUCUUAUGCCUUUUUUAUAUGCAUAAUGGGAUUUUGACCGGGUAAUAAAAAUUUUAGAUUCUG